rnacentral:rRNA from 1 species
UGGGGAAUAUUGGACAAUGGGCGAAAGCCUGAUCCAGCCAUGCCGCGUGUGUGAAGAAGGUCUUCGGAUUGUAAAGCACUUUCAGUUGGGAGGAAGGGCAGUAACUUAAUACUUUGCUGUUUUGACGUUAGCGACAGAAUAAGCACCGGCUAACUCUGUGCCAGCAGCCGCGGUAAUACAGAGGGUGCAAGCGUUAAUCGGAAUUACUGGGCGUAAAGCGCGCGUAGGUGGUUCGUUAAGUUGGAUGUGAAAUCCCCGGGCUCAACCUGGGAACUGCAUCCAAAACUGGCGAGCUAGAGUAUGGUAGAGGGUGGUGGAAUUGCCUGUGUAGCGGUGAAAUGCGUAGAUAUAGGAAGGAACACCAGUGGCGAAGGCGACCACCUGGACUGAUACUGACACUGAGGUGCGAAAGCGUGGGGAGCAAAC